rnacentral:misc_RNA from 1 species
GCUGAUGGCGGCGAGGAG